CUUAAGGAUACCAAGAGUCCCUGACAAGGAGGCUACAAAUAAAUUCAAGUUUCCCCAUGUGCAGGGCUGUGUUUCCUUUGAGGAUGUGGCUGUUUACUUCUCCUGGGAGGAAUGGACACUGCUCAAUGACUCUCAAAGGCUUCUGUACCAGACGGUGAUGACAGAGAUCUUAGCACUCAUGUCCUCUCUCGGUAAGACCCUGCCAUUCUGACAGAGCAUGUCUAGGUAGGCUUUCCUUUCUUUCUAGAGAGCUGUAUCCUUCUCAAAGCUGGCUUAUGAACACCCAGUCUUUCCCCCACUGUCUUGGAGUAUAAAAUACAGGUUAAAAACCAAGGUUUGUUUCACAAUGGCUCUGUCUUAACUGUAGCAAGGGCACACAGAAAUCAAUUUGGAAUUAGG
rnacentral:lncRNA from 1 species